rnacentral:rRNA from 1 species
AUGCUCAAAAUCGACUUAGCCAAAGCUUUUGAUAGAAUUGAGUGGCAUUUCAUUACUUCGGCUCUUGCUCAUAAGGGUCUUCAUCACCAUUUCACAAACCUUGUACAUGCAUGUAUCUCUUCGCCGAGUUUCUCGAUUAUCAUUAAUGGCCAAUCUUUUGCUCGCUUUAAAAGUAGUAAAGGCAUUAGGCAGGGAUGCCCCUUAUCCCCAACUCUUUUUGUCUUUGCAAUAAAUUAACUCUCUACGUCGCUUCAGGAUGCUCUACAGUCCAAUCACUUGUCAGGUAUUUCUCUUGGUCCAAAUUGCCCUCCAAUUCAUUCUUUGAUGUUUGCGGAUGAUCUGCUUGUUGUGGCAAACCUAACACGCAGGAAGUAG